GAGGAAGUAAAAGUCGUAACAAGUUCUCGCUAGGUGACCAGCGGAGGGACAUUACCGAGUUAGUCAACUCAUCAACCCUGUGAACAUACCUAAACGUUGCUUCGGCGGGAACAGACGGCCCCGUGAAACGGGCCCCCCCCGCCAGAGGACCCCUAACUCUGUUUCUAUAAUGUUUCUUCUGAGUAAAACAAGCAAAUAAAUUAAAACUUUCAACAACGGAUCUCUUGGCUCUGGCAUCGAUGAAGAACGCAGCGAAAUGCGAUAAGUAAUGUGAAUUGCAGAAUUCAGUGAAUCAUCGAAUCUUUGAACGCACAUUGCGCCCGCCAGUAUUCUGGCGGGCAUGCCUGUUCGAGCGUCAUUACAACCCUCAGGCCCCCGGGCCUGGCGUUGGGGAUCGGCGGAGCCCCCCGUGGGCACACGCCGUCCCCCAAAUACAGUGGCGGUCCCGCCGCAGCUUCCAUCGCGUAGUAGCUAACACCUCGCGACUGGAGAGCGGCGCGGCCACGCCGUAUAACACCCAACUCUUCUGAAGUUGACCUCGAAUCAGGUAGGAAUACCCGCUGAACUUAAGCAUAUCAAAAGCGGGAGGAAA
rnacentral:rRNA from 1 species